rnacentral:rRNA from 1 species
AACGAACGCUGGCGGCAGGCCUAACACAUGCAAGUCGAGCGAGACCUUCGGGUCUAGCGGCGGACGGGUUAGUAACGCGUGGGAAUAUGCCCAAAGGUACGGAAUAGCCUCUGGAAACGGAGAGUAAUACCGUAUGUGCCCUUCGGGGGAAAGAUUUAUCGCCUUUGGAUUAGCCCGCGUUAGAUUAGGUAGUUGGUGGGGUAAUGGCCUACCAAGCCUACGAUCUAUAGCUGGUUUUAGAGGAUGAUCAGCAACACUGGGACUGAGACACGGCCCAGACUCCUACGGGAGGCAGCAGUGGGGAAUCUUGGACAAUGGGCGCAAGCCUGAUCCAGCCAUGCCGCGUGAGUGAUGAAGGCCUUAGGGUCGUAAAGCUCUUUCGCCAGGGAUGAUAAUGACAGUACCUGGUAAAGAACCCCCGGCUAAACUCCGUGCCAGCAGCCGCGGUAA